CUACGGGGGGCUCCAGUGGGGAAUAUUGCACAAUGGGCGCAAGCCUGAUGCAGCCAUGCCGCGUGUAUGAAGAAGGCCUUCGGGUUGUAAAGUACUUUCAGCGGGGAGGAAGGGAGUAAAGUUAAUACCUUUGCUCAUUGACGUUACCCGCAGAAGAAGCACCGGCUAACUCCGUGCCAGGCAGCCGCGGUAAUACGGAGGGUGGCAAGCGUUAAUCGGAAUUACUGGGCGUAAAGCGCACGCAGGCGGUUUGUUAAGUCAGAUGUGAAAUCCCCGGGCUCAACCUGGGAACUGCACCUGAUACUGGCAAGCUUGAGUCUCGUAGAGGGGGGUAGAAUUCCAGGUGUAGCGGUGAAAUGCGUAGAGAUCUGGAGGAAUACCGGUGGCGAAGGCGGCCCCCUGGACGAAGACUGACGCUCAGGUGCGAAAGCGUGGGGAGCAAACAGGAUUAGAUACCCCAGUAGUC
rnacentral:rRNA from 1 species